CAUAUAAAACAUUUUUUUAAAAAUUGCAAAAUACUGCAAAGACCUAUUUUUACAUAUAAACAAUCUUAGACAUGCCUCAUGAUAAAUUAAAUGUGACACACUUCAUCAUAUGAAAGUACAGGCUGUGUCAAAAAAUAGGAAUGCAGAAAUGUAUCAGUGUUCUUGUGUGUGCUGGAGAGGACGUUCAUCAUGCACAGCAUUAGCUACAUGUUAGUUUAAAAUAUCCUCUUUACUUACAAAGUCACAAAUCAGACAGAGGAGAGGUUUCAAUCCCGCUCUUCAGAACUGAUACACACAUGCAAAAAAUAAAUAAAUAAAUAAAUAAAUAAAUCCCAGCAGUCAAGAGAUGCUCCAAACACACAUGAGAUCAUGCCACAUUAAUUCAUAGAUACCUGCUUUAAAAUUAUAAUAAAUGAUUUCUGUUGAAUUAAUACAGAUACUGAGGGAAGAAAACAGCAUAUUUAUUAGGAAUUUCUCUCUCUCUUUUUUAAUUAUAUCACUUUCUUAGUAUUGUUUUAAUAGAAUAUAUUAUUUGUAACAAAUAGCUCCGAUAGCUGAACAUGCAAUUCAAAUUUUAUGUUUCAGAAAAUAAAAACUGUGAUACACUCUUAAAAAUAAAGGUGCUUCAC